UACGGAGGGUGCGAGCGUUAUCCGGAAUUACUGGGUUUAAAGGGUGCGUAGGCGGAUAAUUAAGUCUAAGGUGAAAGUUUGUUGCUUAACAAUAAGAUUGCCUUAGAUACUGAUUAUCUUGAAUUAGGUUGAGGAUAGCGGAAUGUGGCAUGUAGCGGUGAAAUGCAUAGAUAUGCCAUAGAACACCAAUUGCGAAGGCAGCUAUCUAGGCUUAUAUUGACGCUGAGGCACGAAAGCAUGGGGAUCGAACAGG
rnacentral:rRNA from 1 species